rnacentral:rRNA from 1 species
AGCAGCCACGGUAAUUCCAGUUCCAAUAGCGUAUAUUAAAGUUGUUGCAGUUAAAAAGACUCGUAGUUGAACUUCGAGGUUUACCCAUUGGUCAGGCUUAAUUGUCUGUACUGGUGAGAUGAAUCUCUACCUUCUGAGAAACUUUCAUACCAUUUAUUUGGUGUGAUGGGAAAUCAGGACUGUUUACUUUGAAAAAUUAGAGUGUUUAAAGCAGGCUAACGUCUGAAUACAUUAGCAUAGAAUAAUGAAAUAGGACGGACUGAUUCUAUUUCGUUGGUUUCUAGGAUCACCGUAAUGAUUAAUAGGGAUAGUUGGGGGCAUUAGUAUUCAAUUGUCAGAGGUGAAAUU